rnacentral:lncRNA from 1 species
CCGAGAGCUUCGUCUUCCUCCAGCAUGUCCCUCUCGAUUUUAGGCGCUCUUCGGGUCGACCCCCAUCACCCUUGCUGCCUUCCUGCAUCUCUCGGACUAGUCUAGGUUAGUUCUGGAACCCCUCUCUUUCUUGUUCUUUUUCUAUUUUUUCUCCUUCGUGUUACGCCCGUUCGAUUUCUCCGCAAGCGUCUUAUUUCUUAUUUUUUUCUAAUUUUUUCGAGAUUUUUUAGGAUUUUUGCUUGAUUCAUAAUGUCCUCCAACACCUCCUCCUCUAGCAAUUCUAGGAGUUCAUCCGUUUCAGUCCCACAAAAUUUUAGUUCUGUAGAUGAACCUCGUCCGAUCUUUGUACCAGACACCAUUCCUAGUACUCUGAUUUUGGACGAACUCUCACUGAUCAAAAUUCAGUACGGAGUUUCUCCAGAGUACGAGUUUGAGCUUUCCGGGCCAACUGAUCGGGCUAGUGCCCCUCCUCCUGACCGCUUCUACUUAUAUCAGGAAGCUUUCCGCGUCGGACUUCGACUUCCGCUUCCACCUUUUAUCGUUGCUCUUUUUCAUUUUUUAAAUAUUUUUUAGUUUCGGUAGUGCCGAACUCCUUUAGGUUUUUGAUAGGAUUUCUUUCCCUCUGUCGCUUAGUCGAAGUCCGGCCAACCC